AUUGAACGCUGGCGGCAGGCCUAACACAUGCAAGUCGAGCGAGCGGCGGACGGGUGAGUAAUGUAUGGGGACUGCCCGAUAGAGGGGGAUAACUACUGGAAACGGUAGCUAAUACCGCAUACUAUCGGAUAACCCAUAUGGGAUUAGCUAGUAGGUGAGGUAAUGGCUCACCUAGGCGACGAUCCCUAGCUGGUCUGAGGGGCUGAUCAGCGACACUGGGACUGUGACACGGCCCAGACGCCUACGGAGGCAGCAGUGGGGAAUAUUGCGCAAUGGGCGAAAGCCUGAUGGAGCCAUGCAGCGUGUAUGAAGAAGGCCCUAGGGUUGUAGAGUACUUUCAGUCGGGAGGCGUUACCUACAGAAGAAGCACCGGCUAACUCCGUGCCAGCAGCCGCGGUAAUUC
rnacentral:rRNA from 1 species